rnacentral:lncRNA from 1 species
CAUAGCAGAGGUGGUCGGAUGAUCCCUAUAAAUUUGACAAGAAUUGUUGUAAUUUAUUACAAAUUUUAGUGUUAGUUAUUGUUGGGGUGAUUUAGCCGACUUCCUAAUUUUAACUUUUGAUCGGCCUGAUAAGCACGAUCUGCAGAUUAUCAAUCAAUUGGCCGACUGACAGUCGGCUAUCCUCAACCAUGACAACUCGGCUGAUCUCAGAUCGAUGACUAUCGACAUAUCAGAGUUACUGACCG